CGCAGGAAAACCUGCGUGUGGGGUUCCACUGGAAGAGUUCCUUUCUUUCCAUGUGUUUGCAGGAUCGCAUGGUGCCUAGAACUGUGCGGAAAGAAACUAUGAAAUAUAAUGGAAGAAGAGGAAGAUUUCAUGAGCUGUAAAGGACUUCCAUUCCACAGUCACCUCUGUACAAGAAGCUUCAGGAGUAGCUUGCAAGCACUUCCAUUCUCACAGCUGAGUUGCUCAUUGCCUUGCCUUCUUCCAACCAUCCUGUGGAAGUUCCAAGAAUAUUGGAAGUGACUGGAACGCUGGUCUAUCAGGAACUGAAAAGAGGUAGGUAUUGUUCUUGCUUAUCCAAUUUCCUUUCUUAAAUCAUGUCCUGUGGCAGGAAUAGAUGAGAGCGGUGGCAGCAGCAGCUGAGGCUAACAGACUUAAUAGAUUUUCCACCCAUUCAUUCCUUCCUUCAUGCAUGUGAUUUUAAGACAUUGUGGAGUUCAGUACUGCACAGUUUUCAUUAUAUAACAAAAUAAAUAAGCAGAAGGAGAAGGAGAAGGUAUAUCGUUAUGUUUUUUUUGUGAGGACUUAGGUGAUAAUACAGGAGCUAAAGGGUG